UGGUGGGCAGGGUCUAGCCGGGGCGGGGCCACGGCAGGCAGCGCGGGGUGAGCCCGGCGAGCUGUGGUCUCCGCGCUCCGGGGCUCGGCAGGCGCUCCCGCUUCUGUCUCCGCGCGCAGUUCCCGCCGCCUCCUUCCAAGCGGGCUCGGCCCGGUGCGGCCGGCUGCUGGGGCGAUGUGAACCGGGACCCGCAGGCGCGGCAGGUUCGCCGCGAUGUGGCUCAAGCCCGAGGAGGUGCUGCUCAAGAACGCGCUGAAGCUCUGGGUGACCCAGAAGAGCAGCUGCUACUUCGUCUUGCAGCGGCGCCGCGGGCACGGCGAGGGGGGCGGCCGCCUCACCGGUCGCCUUGUCGGUGCCCUGGACGCGGUGCUGGAUUCCAGCGCACGGGUUGCUCCAUUUCGGAUUCUGCUUCAAGUUCCUGGGUCGCAGGUGUAUUCUCCCAUAGCAUGUGGUGAGUUACUGAAUGGAUCAGACAUUUACUGGGCGAUAGCCACUGGUGCAACAUUGGAGGAAAUCAACCGGCACUGGGACUGGCUGGAGCAGAACCUGCUGCACACCCUGUCAGUCUUUGACAACAAAGAUGACAUCGCCAGCUUUGUCAAAGGGAAGGUGAAGGCUCUGAUCGCAGAGGAGACCAGCAGCAGACUGGCAGAGCAGGAGGAGGAGCCCGAGAAGUUCCGAGAAGCUCUGGUGAAGUUCGAGGCCAGGUUCAACUUCCCCGAGGCGGAGAAGCUGGUCACGUACUACUCGUGCUGCUGCUGGAAGGGCAGGGUGCCCCGCCAGGGCUGGCUGUACCUCAGCAUCAACCACCUCUGCUUCUAUUCCUUCUUCCUGGGCAAGGAGCUUAAACUUGUGAUCCCCUGGGUCGAUAUCCAGAAGCUGGAGCGAACCUCCAAUGUCUUUCUCACGGACACCAUCCGGAUCACUACACAGAAUAAGGAGCGAGACUUCUCCACGUUUCUGAACCUGGACGAGGUGUUCAAGAUCAUGGAGCAGCUGGCAGAUGUCACGCUCCGGAGGCUGCUGGACAACGAGGUUUUUGAUCUUGACCCCGACCUGCAGGAGCCUAGCCAGAUCACAAAGAGGGACCUGGAGGCCAGAGCACAGAACGAGUUCUUCCGGGCUUUCUUCAGGCUGCCGAGGGAGGAGAAGCUGCACGCUGUGGCAGACUGUUCCCUCUGGACGCCCUUCAGUCGCUGCCACACAGCCGGACGGAUAUUCUCCUCUGACAGCUACAUCUGCUUUGCCAGCAGAGAGGAUGGCUGCUGUAAUGUUGUGCUUCCCCUGAGAGAGGUAGUGAGCAUUGAGAAGAUGGAAGACACGAGCCUGCUGCCCAACCCCAUCAUCGUGAGCAUCCGCAGCAAGAUGGCCUUCCAGUUCAUUGAGCUCAAGGACAGAGAGAACUUGGUGGAGGGCCUGCUGCUGAGACUGAAGCAGGUCCACGCCAACCACCCUGUGCACUAUGAGACCUCGCCAAGUGAUGAUGACAUGGCUUCACCUGUGUUUUACUCAGCAAGCAUCUGCACUGACAAGUUUGGGGAUCUUGAGAUGGUGGCUUCUCAAAGUAGCGAAGAGAGAGAGGAGAAGCGCCCCCUGCCACACCCCGAGCCCCUGACUGCCGUCUUCCAGCAGUCUGGCAGCCAGAGCCCCGACUCCCGCCUGUCCCGGGAACAGAUAAAAAUCAGUCUGUGGAACGACCACUUUGUAGAGUACGGCAGGACCGUGUGCAUGUUCCGCACUGAAAAGAUCCGGAAGCUGGUGGCCAUGGGGAUCCCCGAGUCGUUACGUGGAAGGCUGUGGCUGCUUUUCUCAGAUGCUGUGACGGACCUGGCCUCACACCCUGGGUACUAUGGGAAUCUGGUGGAGCAGUCUCUGGGGCGCUGCUGCCUGGUGACAGAGGAGAUAGAGAGGGACCUGCACCGCUCUCUCCCUGAGCACCCCGCCUUCCAGAAUGAAACUGGCAUUGCUGCCUUGAGGCGGGUGCUGACAGCGUAUGCCCACCGGAACCCCAAGAUUGGAUACUGCCAGUCCAUGAACAUCCUGACCUCUGUGUUGCUGCUGUAUGCCAAAGAGGAGGAAGCCUUCUGGCUGCUGGUCGCUGUGUGUGAGCGGAUGCUGCCUGAUUACUUCAACCACCGGGUGAUUGCCUUUGUGGGAGAGCCAUCUUGUCCCCCUAAACCUGAGCACCUCUCAUUAGGCCCUACCUCCAAAUAAUACCACCUGGAAAACAAGCCUUAACACAAGACCCUCCAGGACUCGGCAGGAUUCAACUGUAUCCUGACCUUAACAGGGUACAGUGAGCCUACAGCUGGUCAGCCUGCCCUGGGUAGAUCAUCUCUGGUGUGAUUUAGGUGUGGAUGUACAGUCUCUGGCCCCACAACCUCCUAGUGGAGAAGGCACUACAUCAAGGUGGGUGAUAUUCUUAGGGGUCCUUCUUGGUAAUCCAGACGAGGCAUCAAAGAGGUUGACAGGGUAGCCAGGCGUGGUGGUGCACAUCUUGAGUCCUAGCACUUGGGAGGCAGAGGCAGGAGGAUUUCUGUGAGUUUGAGACCAGCUUGGUCUGGAUAGUGAGUUUCCAGGCCAGCCAGACCUUUACAGAAAGAUCCUAGCAUCAGGAGCAUUGAAAAACUAAACAAAAAUGAACAAAAUUAAGGUGGACAGGCAGGCAAGACGGCUCUGUGGGUAAACAUACUGUGUGCUAGGCAUUAUGACCCGAGAGCGAUCCCUAGGACCCGCGUGGUGGAAGAAGAGCAAUGGCUUCAGCACGUUGUUCUCUUACCUCUGUGUGUGCCCUCCUCCACCUCUCUCUCUCUGUCUCUGUCUGUCUCUGUCUCUUUCUCUGUCUCUCUCUCAUGCAUACACAUAUAGACACAUACAUACAUAUGCACAUGAAUAAAUAUAAUUUAAAAAUAGAGAAAUCAGGGUGUCAGUAUAUAAACAAACAAAAGAAUCAGGUAGAUAGAAUUUGGUGCCUGGCUGGCUGUAGGACCCAACUGGAAGCUGAUAUCUUUUGAAGACUGCUUUCUAAGAAGUGAAGUGUCUGUCAGCCUAACAGUAAGAAAUGGAGUGGGGGAUGUGUGUGCGCAGGCUGUGUGUUAUUUUGGAUAUAUGUGUGCCCUUGAUGGGUACCUGGCUCUCGUCCUUGCCCGAGUGGGCGGUGGGCAGCUGGCUCACUUCCUGUUUCACUUGAUUUUGUGGGAGGUGUGCAAAAAAUUAAGAAAUGAGUUGUGGUGUGGUUGGAAGAAGCAUCAUCAAAAACCACUGGUUGCUAAGUGUUGCUAUAAGACAGCUUGCAGUCUCUCUCUCUCCCUUCUUCCCUCCCUCCCUCCCUCUCUCUCUAGCCCCCCUCCCUCCGUGUGUGUGUGUGUUUAUGUGUGUGUGUGUCUGCUGCUGUCGUGAGAAAAUGAGCAUGUCCCUCACAGGUCACUUUGCUGCCUGCAGCUAAUUUCCGUUACCUACAGUGAUGUUGGCCUACUCCAGAAGGACCAGUUUUGUGUCUGGCUUCCUUCAUCCACUGGCUGUGGUCAGCAUCCGCCCUGGCAUAUGUAGGUAGUUUGCUCCACUGUGUUGUAGACACAGGUCCUUAGGUUCAUACCAAGUUGACUUGUCUAGUCGCUGUCUUAGUUACUGUUCGUGGAGGGAUAGAACCAACAGAGUGAAUGUAUAUUAGGAGGACCCAUUAGGCCGGCUUACAGGAUACAGCCUGGCUAAUCUCACAGUGGAGAGGCAGAGAAUCCAAUGGUUUCUCGGUACAUUGAAGCCGGUGUCUAACAUUCCCCACUUUGCCCUGAAGACCUGAAAGACUGUUGGAGAGCUGCUGGGCCUCAGAUGUCUUCAGAGCCAUAGUGAAGGAUGCCACAGCAGAGGAGUGAUAGGGGAGAAACCUGUCAGCAGAAGGAAGGGCAAGCAGGGAAAGGCAGCGUCCCUUCUUCCAACCGUCCUUAAUCUAACCAUACAUAGGGUGGUCAUCCCACUGUUACCUUCAUGGGAUCCCCAACUGCUUCCCAUUGAACUGAUUCCAGAUGGGAAUUCAGGGGCCUUCAGUGUGAGCCCAUGAAAUAAAGCUCAGUGAAUAUUCAUGUCGUUCUCUCCAUGUUUCCCUAGGAGGACUGUGGGUACAGGGGUAGGGGAACUGUUAGGUAAGAAGAUGCCACCAGUAUUACUGAGUGGAUAGGUGAGUUACGUGUUCUGUUUCAGCCCUGUGCGAGCCUCAGCUUGUCCCGAGUCCUUGCUAACACCUGGGGUUGUCCUUUCCUCUUAACCAUGAGCUGUGAAUGGUAUUUGUCCUGUGGCUCUUAGUUUGUGUCUCACAGAUAAGUAAUCGCUUUGAACAUACUUCUCUGUGUUUACUGCUAUCUGAAGGCAAGUUUUGAAUUAUUUAAAAAUAAUUUAAAAAGGAAACUGGUUAUUGGCCUCUUACAAAGCUGCAGAAGUUGUUUGCUUCAGAUUUGAGAGUGCCAGGGAGAUGUGCUGUUAAGUUUUCUCUAGUUAAGUUCAUGUUUGCAUUUUGUUGCUGGUUUCUUUUGAAGAAAGGAUUGGUUUUUUUAGACAGGGUUUCUAUGGAUAGGAUAGCCCUGUCUAUCCUGGGACUCAGCUCUGUAGAUUAGGCUGGCCUCAAAGUCAGAGAGAUCCACCUGCCUCUACCUCUGCCUACCAAGUGCUGGGACUAAAGUUGUACCCCACCACCACCCAUCAAAGAAUGGAAUUUUUGAUGUCUUUGAUGGGUAGUACUUUUUAUAUCCUAAGAUAAUUCUGUUUUAUUCCUAUAUUUUCUUCUAGAAGUUUUAAGUUAUAAGCAUUUGUCUUUAGGUCCCUGGUUCAUCUCCUAGGUGUUUUUUUAUGCGUAAGGGCGGGGUUAGAGCCCCUUUCCCCACUGAUUAAGCACUGGUUUUUGGAAAGACUGUCUUUAUAUUGAGUGAUGGUGGUCACAUGUCAAGAGUCCCUGAACUAAGCUCAUUCCUUUUUGGACUCCAAUUCUUGUUUCAUGAUACUACCUUAGAGCAAGCUUCAUUUCCGGCCUCCACCGGAAGGAAAGCGUGCUUCUUUCCCACCGAGGCUUCCUGCUGUCCUUGGCAGGGGCUCAGGUGGACCAGUCUGUGUUUGAGGAGCUCAUCAAGGAGCAACUCCCAGAGCUGGCGGAGCACAUGAGCGACCUCUCGGCGUUAGCGUCCAUCUCCCUCUCCUGGUUCCUGACUCUGUUCCUCAGCAUCAUGCCGCUGGAGAGUGCUGUGCACGUCGUUGACUGCUUCUUCUACGAUGGGAUCAAGGCCAUCUUCCAGCUGGGGCUGGCUGUGCUGGAAGCCAAUGCAGAGGAACUGUGCAGUAGCAAAGAUGACGGACAGGCCCUGAUGGUCCUCAGCAGGUUUCUAGAUCACAUUAAGAAUGAAGACAGCCCGGGGCCCCCCAUUGGCAGCCACCAUGCCUUUUUCUCUGAUGAUCAGGAGCCAUAUCCUGUGACCGACAUUGCUGACCUGAUCCGGGACUCCUAUGAGAAAUUUGGAAACCAGUCUGUGGAGCAGAUUGAACAUCUACGCUGCAAGCACAGGAUCAGGGUCCUGCAAGGACACGAGGACACCACCAAGCAGAAUGUGCUCCGUGUCGUUAUCCCAGAAGUCUCCAUUCUUCCUGAAGACCUUGAGGAACUCUAUGACUUAUUCAAGAGAGCACACAUGAUGAGCUGUUACUGGGAGCACCACAGGCCCAUGGCCCUGCGCCAUGAUCCCAGCAGGCCCUAUGCUGAACAGUACCGCAUCGAUGCCCGGCAGUUUGCACACCUAUUCCAGUUGGUAUCGCCAUGGACCUGUGGGGUCCAUACAGAGAUCCUUGCUGAGAGGCUCUUCAGGCUUCUGGACGACAACAUGGACCAGCUCAUAGAGUUCAAAGCCUUCACAAGCUGUCUAGACAUCAUGUACAAUGGAGAAAUGAACGAGAAGAUUAAGCUGCUGUACAGGCUUCAUAUCCCCCCAGCACUCACUGAAAAUGACAGAGAUAGCCAGUCACCAUUGAAGAAUCCUCUGUUGUCAACUUCAAGACCCCUGGUCCUGGGCAAACCCAAUGGUGACACAAUUGACUAUCAGAAACAGCUGAAACAGAUGAUUAAGGAUUUAGCCAAAGAAAAGGAUAAAAUGGAGAAAGAGUUGCCCAAAAUGAGUCAGAGAGAAUUUAUCCAGUUCUGUAAAACUCUGUACAGUAUGUUCCAUGAAGAUCCAGAGGAAAAUGACCUGUAUCAAGCCAUUGCCACAGUAACCACUCUGCUACUGCAGAUUGGAGAAGUGGGCCAGCGAGGUAGCAGUUCAGGAAGCUGCUCCCAAGAAUGUGAGGAGCCGCAGGCCUCGGCUCCUCCCGAACAGGACUCAGUUUUUGCUGAGGCUGGAAAGAGUCCCCAGGCCUUCCCCGAGACUGAAGGGGACUGGACUGUGUCCCUUGAACAUAUUUUGGCAUCCCUUCUCACUGAGCAGUCACUGGUGAAUUUUUUUGAAAAGCCACUCAACAUUAAAUCCAAACUUGAAAACGCCAAGCUCAAUCAGUACAGUCUCAAAGUUUUGGAAAUGAGCCACCCACCACAGGCAGAACUGAAGCUCAAUGACCUGUAGGCCCUGAGCUGCUGGAGAACACACUGGAGCCGACCACACCAAAGCAAGAGCUGUCAGCCUACAACCAGGGAGCUCCACCACCUCAGUCACAGCUGCAGGUCUGACGCAUUUCUAUUUAUUAAGAGGACAGGUGAGUGGUGGGACGCCCUGUUUACAUACACUGUGACUAUCAACUUUGCUGAGACCAGUGUUUCUGUUGUGAUCCUGAUAGUGAGUCUGCCCUUUGAUGAAGAAAAAGAUGCCACCGUAACUAAGAGACACCAACCCCAGGCUCAUGUUUCCACUGGUCAGAAACAAGAGAUCCCAGAACCAUUGCCUGUACAACUGUAUUUGGCUUUUUUUUGCACUAAUUUUGUUUCAAUGCUGGUAAUUGAAACCAUUUAAUAUAUCUCGUAUUCACUUUAUAUGCCCUUACAAAAACAUGUUCAAACCAUGCCUUUAAUGUUUGUCCUCAAGGUUUUUAAUAAAAAUCGUUCUUUUGUACUGAC